rnacentral:tRNA from 1 species
AUUUAAAUAGCUUAAAAUUAGAGCACAACAUUGAAGCUGUUGGGGUAACAUUUGUUUUUAAAUA